rnacentral:rRNA from 1 species
CCUACGGGGGGCAGCAGUGAGGAAUAUUGGUCAAUGGGCGGGAGCCUGAACCAGCCAAGUCGCGUGAAGGAAGAAGGUACUUAGUAUUGUAAACUUCUUUUGUCGGGGAACAAAGGCGGAGACGCGUCUCCGGAUGAGUGUACCCGAAGAAAAAGCAUCGGCUAACUCCGUGCCAGCAGCCGCGGUAAUACGGAGGAUGCGAGCGUUAUCCGGAUUUAUUGGGUUUAAAGGGUGCGCAGGCGGGAGAUCAAGUCAGCGGUAAAAUGUCGGGGCUCAACCCCGGCCGGCCGUUGAAACUGGUUUUCUAGAGUUGGAGAGAAGUAUGCGGAAUUCGUGGUGUAGCGGUGAAAUGCAUAGAUAUCGCGCAGAACCCCGAUUGCGAAGGCAGCGUGCCGUGCCGCCACUGACGCUGAGGCACGAAAGCGCGGGGAUCGAACAGGAUUAGAUACCCGAGUAGUC